GACGAACGCUGGCGGCGUGCCUAAUACAUGCAAGUUGAGCGCUGAAGGUUGGUACUUGUACCAACUGGAUGAGCAGCGAACGGGUGAGUAACGCGUGGGGAAUCUGCCUUUGAGCGGGGGACAACAUUUGGAAACGAAUGCUAAUACCGCAUAAAAACUUUAAACACAAGUUUUAAGUUUGAAAGAUGCAAUUGCAUCACUCAAAGAUGAUCCCGCGUUGUAUUAGCUAGUUGGUGAGGUAAAGGCUCACCAAGGCGAUGAUACAUAGCCGACCUGAGAGGGGGAUCGGCCACAUUGGGACUGAGACACGGCCCAAACUCCUACGGGAGGCAGCAGUAGGGAAUCUUCGGCAAUGGACGAAAGUCUGACCGAGCAACGCCGCGUGAGGGAAGAAGGGUUUCGGAUCGUAAAACUCUGUUGGUAGAGAAGAACGUUGGUGAGAGUGGAAAGCUCAUCAAGUGACGGUAACUACCCAGAAAGGGACGGCUAACUACGUG
rnacentral:rRNA from 1 species